GACGAACGCUGGCGGCGUGCCUAAUACAUGCAAGUAGAACGCUGAAGGGAGAGCUUGCUCUUCUGGAUGAGUUGCGAACGGGUGAGUAACGCGUAGGUAACCUGCCUGGUAGCGGGGGAUAACUAUUGGAAACGAUAGCUAAUACCGCAUAACAUUGACUAUUGCAUGAUAGUCAAUUGAAAGGUGCAAUUGCACUACUACCAGAUGGACCUGCGUUGUAUUAGCUAGUUGGUGGGGUAACGGCUCACCAAGGCGACGAUACAUAGCCGACCUGAGAGGGUGAUCGGCCACACUGGGACUGAGACACGGCCCAGACUCCUACGGGAGGCAGCAGUAGGGAAUCUUCGGCAAUGGACGGAAGUCUGACCGAGCAACGCCGCGUGAGUGAAGAAGGUUUUCGGAUCGUAAAGCUCUGUUGUAAGAGAAGAACGAGUGUGAGAGUGGAAAGUUCACACUG
rnacentral:rRNA from 1 species